rnacentral:rRNA from 1 species
ACGCUCGACACCUACGGGAGGCAGCAGUGGGAAUAUUGGGCAAUGGGCGCAAGCCUGACCCAGCAACGCCGCGUGAAGGAAGAAGGCUUUCGGGUUGUAAACUUCUUUUGUCAGGGAAGAGCAGAAGACGGUACCUGACGAAUAAGCCACGGCUAACUACGUGCCAACAGCCGCGGUAAUCUGAGCGGGCUGGCAAGGC